rnacentral:rRNA from 1 species
CAAAUAAGAAAGUGACGGGGAGAGACCGAGACCUUAAAAGAUCUUGGGAUCGUGCUAAGGGUUUUGGGUUUCGAGGAGGAGUAGGAGAAGGUACCGCUACCGCAGGCGCGAGGGCGAGGAGGAGCACGGGGCGGGGUAGCAGAGAGGCUCUGGGCGACGUCGCCCGGCGAAGGAAAGGGAGAGGCGAGGGGACAGGUGGCGGCGAGGGCGGGGACGGGGGCAGCUCGGGGACUUCCCGCCGCCGGCGGAGCGCGCCGAGGUCUGAGAGGUGCGUCGGAGGACGACGUUGAGGCGGGGGCGUCGUCGUAGACCUCCUCACCUCCGCCGGGCCCGCUUCCCGAACGUCGAGCACCGGACCAUGGAAGACAGAGAACUGUUCGUAGGCCACCGCUGGUUCCGACAGUGAAGACGACACGACUGAGACCGGCCCCUGGAGUAGACGGUCGAACAUUAACUAUUUCACGGUCUCGAUCUGGACUUCUCUUGUAAACACAAGUGCAAUAACCCUGAACAGGACCACCCCGGUUGCAACGUAAAGACCAUGAACAUAAACUCAUUUAAUCACUGCUAGUCGCCCUGUAGACCACAGUAAAGAGCGGACAAUGAACUGGUCAAGUAGAAGAGAGGACAAAAGUAACCACAGAAGUACUCGAAUGAGCAUUGGAACCUCCCUUUCGGUAGAGAACAUCACGGUUUCGAAUUCGUCCUCACCAAGAGAAGUAACUAGCGCUUAACCGUUAACACCUAUGGCAAGGUCAAAAAAUUAAAGAUAAAACAGGGUGUCUUCGAGGUCCAAGAACGACGAUUAAAACAUCGGGAACGUACCUUGCACUAAAACAGUAUAUUUCGAGUAUUCUUCCAAUAGCGCCUCAUCAGUUUAUCCACUCUCUCAUCUGAGAUCCCGCCCCAUAGAUUCGGCCAACGUUGUACACCGCUAGGGCGCUACGGUCAAUUAGUACGCAACAUGUUAGACAUAUUGGCAAACACUACCCUCCAACAAGAACCAAAGGCUUCUUAAUGUAUUACAUUUUAAGACCCCAAGGAUCGUUUAGUUUUGAGUCCGGGGCCCCCACAAUAACCGUACUACCACAGCGUCAACUACCGGCUAAGCGACCGCCGGCUACGGCAUCUCAACUUUUUCGACGCCACCAACCCACAAGGCUGCCGCGUGCAGCGAAGUGCCACGAAGAAACAGAGACGAAGUGACUAGGUAGAUAGGCAGACUGACUCGAAGUGCCACGAAGAAACAGAGACGAAGUGACUGGGUAGAUAGGCAGACUGAUCUGUACCAGGACUCAGACGAAGUGACAGGCAUCCUUGAGGCUGGUUCCGAGGACACCGACACUUAUUGGCGUACUGUCGGAGAGCUCGUCGAUUGAAACUGACUUAUCAAGAUUUGGGGUCCUGCACUCCUUACACACACACACUCCUCUGCCCCCGCUUCUGCUUACAUGUUACUAAAAAAAAAAGAAAAAACUCCUACUUACAUGUUACUAAUUAUCAUCUCUAUACUAUUACGUGUGAACAAGCAUAACAUUUUCCUUAGAAUCUCGUUAAGGUUGCUAAGGGGAUUUAAAAUCCCCUUCAAAUGAUUCUCUUUGAAAACAGUCUAGGACAUUUAAUAAGGGGAUUUAAAACACAAAAAAAAAUUGAAAAGGUAAUUUGUUCAGAUCCUGGGCGUUCAGUCACUGUGCCCGUUCAACACCAUGCUGCCCCUCGUCGCUCCGCCACGCCAUCGCGUUGCCCCGACGCCGUACCUCAGCCCCACCUCGCCCGCCGCAUACUGCCGCACCACACCGCCGUAUGCUGCCGCUCGAUGCCGUCAGGC